CCAGCUCAGAGAACAAGAGGCUUGCCACCAUCUUGGAAGCGGCCUGCCACCAUCUUGGGAGUUCUAAGAACAAGGGACCCUAGUAACGUCUCCAUCUAACUCUAAUUAUUGUACUUCCUGAGGGCUUGGCUCUGAGAUUUGUUCCUACAUACUCUCUGUGGUUUCAAGCUCGCCUACGUUUGGACACAAACUAAACCAUUGGCUUGCCUAGGUCUCCAGCUUGCCGACCCACCUUGAAGAUCUUGG
rnacentral:lncRNA from 1 species